UAGUUUAAGCUAGAUUAAAAAAAAUUAUCCAACGAAUUAAAAAUAAAGAUAGUAAAUGUACUAUACUACUAUGGGUUUAAAUCUCAUUCACCUUUAAUUUCAAGCCCAAAAGGCUUUUAUGUGAAAGGACAAGAUAUAUAAUAAUAUAACAACCAUAUUCAAUUCAUUCCGAAAUGCAAACUACAUAUGGAUGCACAGGUACAUCAACAAGCAAUGACAUUGUUUCAUACACCAUCACACCAAAUAUCUUUACCAUACUAAACCCAAAUCCAUUACUCAUUUUACCUGUAAGGUUAAUGCAUCCACCCCAUGAUGUACUCAUUUUACAAGCUCAUCUUACUAUAUUUUACUUUAUAACGUUAAUGUGUUCAAAGAAAGGAGAGCCCCUUUUAUCACCUGCAAGUUAAGACAACAUUCCAAGCAAUAGCAAUCAUCUAAUUCUUUGUUUCGAUGUGGGCGUUGUGAAAUACUCACGUAGUCCAGAGCAGCAGCUGCAGUUGGCGCGGCUUUAAUGAUAGGAGACGAUAUGUACAAGUUCAGCCGAUCCCCAGAGGACUCAAUAGUGGUCGAGGAUGACCAAAUGACGAGUUCCUCAGAUACACUGUAAAGAACAUCCUCAAAGGGUUCAAAGACAGAUUGGAUUGAACCAUCAAUGCUUUGAGCCGAGGAUCAAUGUUCUUUAAUUUGCAAUGUAUCGGAGGAACUCUUCGUUUGGUCAUCCAUGUCUAUGUCUACAUCAUGACUCAUGAGACCACUCUUCGGUGACGGAAUUGCAAGUGUGAGAGUGGAUGAAUGGAGCCAUAGGUAAUAAAGAACUCUGGAAACUAAUUUCAGGCACUAGAAUACUGAAAACUAAAGCUAAGGGAGAAAAUGAAAAAAAAAAAAA